AUCGCUAUGGCUUAGUGGAAAAGCGCCAGGCUCAUAACCUGGAGAUCCAAGGAUCGAGACCUUGUGGCGAUA